GGAUUAUGGCUCAGUGGUAGAGCAUUCACCUAACAUGUCCAAGGCCCUGAGUUUGAUCCUCAGCACCA
rnacentral:tRNA from 1 species